UGUUUUUGCAACUACAUGUCACUUUGUCCGUUAUCCUGUACUUACAUGUUUCCCCUUUCGUCUGUCACUGGAUCUGGUCUUCAGCCAGCAUGGAACAAAAGUGGGGCAAGGGUCAUUAACAACUCCGACACAGUUGUCAAGUCAACACAUCCUUCAGUGCUGUGAUUUUCUUGGUUUACACAGGAGCACAGAAAGCUGGGCUGGGGUGAGUCCUUCCACCCCAGGGGAGCUGACAUUACAUGUAUCCCACAUGGCCCUGGGCAUUCUCCACUGAGAUACCACAGCAGAGAGGACACACAGAGAUAAAGAAGUCUGGAACAGAAUGAAUCUCCCUAGGCAUCAUCCUACGCUAACAGGCAACACACCCGUUGUAAUUAGAAAAAGGCCGAAUUGAAUUUCUCAGCUAAAGACCCUAAAACCUGCGGGAUUGAUAGCAAAUGUUUGAAAUAAAUGACCGAUUUCAUCAUCACAGUGGUGUGAUCUUAUGGGUCUGAAGUAAACAUACCUCCCUGAGGACAAGUCAUAUUUGAUGCUAACUGGACUUUUUUGGUAACAUGGCAGAAGAUUCAAUGAGGACCUUAGAAAACCUUGAGGAAAUUCCCUCAGUUUCAGUGACUCCAAUAAAAUGAAAUGACUACUUAUUA